AAUUGAACCUUUAGGUUCUAGAGGUCGAAUGCAAGUAGAAGCCUGAAAUAUAAAUUCCCAACCGGUCGAGCUCAAGCCUUAACAGGUUGAACUAGAAAGCAAAGUAGGAACAUGCAAUCCUUCAACCAGCUGAACUUUUUACUCAACCGGUGGAAACCCGACAAUGAAGAAAGCAGGCCCAACCAGUUGGUCCUAUUUGUUCAACCAGUUGGAGAAGGCCAAAAAUCCCCAGAGUCAACAUAGGAGGCUGAUUUUUUUAAGACUUUUUGGUACUUUCACUCCACAUUUUACAAGUCCUAUAUAUAAGAGGGGAUCUCAGCACUUGUGAGGAGCUACACACCCAAGGCUUUAAGCACUCUCCAUUCUUCAUCUGAAAAGAUCCUCCCAUUUUCUCUGCAUUUUAUUUUUUAUAUUUUUUUCAAGUUCUUAGAUUUAGUUUAGAGUAGCAGGUAGAGACUUAAAGAGGAGGAAGAAGAGCAUUUGUUUUGAAAUGGAAGUUUGUAAUUUUUGUUCUACUUUUGUUACAAUUUAAAUGGGUGUAAGUUUACUUGAAUUUUAAUUUUCAUUAUGUUAUUGAA
rnacentral:lncRNA from 1 species